rnacentral:rRNA from 1 species
AGUGAACGCUGGCGGUAGGCCUAACACAUGCAAGUCGAACGGCAGCACAGUAAGAGCUUGCUCUUACGGGUGGCGAGUGGCGGACGGGUGAGGAAUACAUCGGAAUCUACUUUUUCGUGGGGGAUAACGUAGGGAAACUUACGCCAAUACCGCAUACGACCUACGGGUGAAAGCAGGGGAUCUUCGGACCUUGCUCGAUUGAAAGAGCCGAUGUCGGAUUAGCUAGUUGGCGGGGUAAAGGCCCACCAAGGCGACGAUCCGUAGCUGGUCUGAGAGGAUGAUCAGCCACACUGGAACUGAGACACGGUCCAGACUCCUACGGGAGGCAGCAGUGGGGAAUAUUGGACAAUGGGCGCAAGCCUGAUCCAGCCAUACCGCGUGGGUGAAGAAGGCCUUCGGGUUGUAAAGCCCUUUUGUUGGGAAAGAAAAGCAGCAGGUUAAUACCCCGCUGUUCUGACGGUACCCAAAGAAUAAGCACCGGCUAACUUCGUG